CCCGCAAGGGACCUCCUGCACAGGUGCUGCAUGGCUGUCGUCAGCUCGUGUCGUGAGAUGUUGGGUUAAGUCCCGCAACGAGCGCAACCCUCGCCUUUAGUUGCCAGCACGUUUGGGUGGGCACUCUAGAGGAACUGCCGGUGACAAGCCGGAGGAAGGUGGGGAUGACGUCAAGUCCUCAUGGCCCUUAUGUCCUGGGCUACACACGUGCUACAAUGGCGGUGACAGUGGGAAGCUAGAUGGUGACAUCGUGCCGAUCUCUAAAAGCCGUCUCAGUUCGGAUUGUACUCUGCAACUCGAGUGCAUGAAGGUGGAAUCGCUAGUAAUCGCGGAUCAGCAUGCCGCGGUCGAAUACGUUCCGGGCCUUGUACACACCGCCCGUCACACCAUGGGAGUUGGUUUGACCCGAAGCCGGUGAGCGAACCGCAAGGACGCAGCCGACCACGGUCGGGUCAGCGACUGGGGUGAAGUCGUAACAAGGUAGGCGUAGACGU
rnacentral:rRNA from 1 species